ACGGAAGGCAGCAGCUAAGAAUAUUCCGCAAUGGACGAAAGUCUGACGGAGCGACGCCGCGUGGAUGGUGAAGGUCGGAAGAUUGUAAAAUCCUUUUGAGUGUGAAGAAUAAGUGCAUCAGGGAAUGGGUGCAUGGUGACAGUAGCACUUGAAUAAGCAACGGCUAAUUACGUGCCAGCAGCCGCGGUAACACGUAAGUUGCGAGCGUUGUUCGGAAUUAUUGGGCGUAAAGGGCAUGUAGGCGGUUCUGCAAGCUUGGUGUGAAAUCCCGGAGCUUAACUCCGGAACUGCAUUGAGAACUGCAGGACUAGAAUUACUGAAGGGCAACUGGAAUUCCAAGUGUAGGGGUGAAAUCUGUAGAUAUCUGGAAGAACACCAAUGGCGAAGGCAGGCUGCUGGCAGAUGAUUGACGCUGAGGUACGAAAGUGCGGGGAGCAAACAGGACUAGAUACCCUGGUA
rnacentral:rRNA from 1 species